AAAACACAUGAUUAUUUUAUUGUUAUAAUUUCGAAGUCUAUUGCAUUUUCAAUUUUUCAUUUGGCAUAGAAAAAAACAUGCUUUUUGUAAACCUACUACAUAUACAUAGUGAUGUGAGUUUGUAUUAUACAAGUUUUAUGAAAACUACGUAUGCUUCUCAAAGACAAAUGAUUUUAAAUGCUGAUCAAAUUGAUACAAUAUUAUUGGAAUGGCCAUUCCUCUGCAAGGUACUGUGCGUGAAGAACCAUUUCUACUACCUAACCAAUAUAGAAGAUAGAGCAGUUAAUAAUUUUAAAAUAAAAAUACUCACUAUGAUAAAGUUUGUCCAGGCAGAAGCUGAAAGAAAGCGUAAAGAUAAUAACCUGCAAUCAAGAUUAAUGGAUAUAAUUAAAAAUCACAAUAAUAAUAACAAUAAUUAUAGUGAUUUUUUGACAUUAUUAUUAUGUUUCAUGGCUAUUAUGAAAGAUAAUGUUGAGCUAAUGUUUAUUAUGUUUGAAGGCACAUGUAUCUUGAUGAUGUGCAAUCAAAUAAGAAAAUAAUUUCAACACCUGUUGUAGUUUGUCUUGACAAUGUUUAUAGAAUGAAUCAGUGACAGUUGAAGAGGCCAUUAUAAUAAUGUUUAUGUCUUUAUGUAUUUAACAUUCAAUAUUCUAAGGAAUUAGCUGGUAUUUUGCAGUUUCUCCAAAGUUCUAUGUUUAAUAUAAAUGAAAAAAGGAAUAAGGUAAAGAAGAAAACUUCUGCUGAAAAAUUUGUUUCAAAAUUACUUAAACUGAUGACAGAUUAUGAUAGUUAUGUAAAAAAGUGGACAUGUUAAUUUUUUUUUUUACAUUUUUUCUGUUAUAAAAAGGGUAUAUAGUAUAUUUACUGAGUUACCUAAUAUACAUGUAACAUUAUUAAGUUUAAAUAUA
rnacentral:misc_RNA from 1 species